GUUCGGUAAACGAUGCGAAGGAUUACCGACAUCGGUAAUGUACCAGCCGGAAACGUCAAAGCCAGCAUCAUGAUUGAUUUUGUUGGCGUGUUAAUUUUUCUUCAACAUUUUCGUCGAAUGCAAAACCAGAUACCUGAUUUUGAAACGAUGUUCUAUUUAAGAGGUGGCAAAAUUGUCAUCCGAACCAGUUCCUCCUGUUUCUCUGCGUCCAAUUGCAAGAUUCAACACCACACCA